rnacentral:rRNA from 1 species
UACGUAGGCAGCGAGCGUUGUUCGGAGUUACUGGGCGUAAAGGGUGUGUAGGCGGUUGUUUAAGUUUGAUGUGAAAUCUCCCGGCUCAACUGGGAGGGUGCGCCGAAUACUGAAUGACUUCGAGUGCGGGAGAGGAGAGUGGAAUUCCUGGUGUAGCGGUGAAAUGCGUAGAUAUCAGGAGGAACACCGGUGGUGUAGACGGCUCUCUGGACCGUAACUGACGCUGAGACACGAAAGCGUGGGUAGCAAACAGG